CAGGAGCUAAAUCUGGAGGGUACAAAUGUUAUUUCCCUUGUUCUUUAAGAUUACCACCAAAAAGGGAAAAGAAAAAAAGCCCCACAAUAAACUACUCUCUGAAUUUUACCCAGGACCAUAGAGAAAUAUCCCUGAAUUUCACCACUAGCACUAUAAUAUCAAACUAGUGAUCAAGUAUAAUCAUAAAGCUUCAGUUUGCUUAGGAAGUCUAUGAAACGUGAUUUUAGGUCUUGCGUCUAUUUCAAGAUUUAUAGUUUUGAGUAUGAAAAGAUUCAACCCUCUAAGUGGAAUAUGACCCUGUAUUUUGAGUGUAGGCUUCCGAGUGCCAAGCACAAGGAGGCAGUCAAGUAGGGAGUCUCAGAAGGUCACUUAUAAGACUUGGGUAUUCAAACAUCAGUCAGAGUGGAACUUCUCAGCAAAAGAGAGGCCCUGUAAUAACAUGCUCCCUCAGUUGACUAGACGUCCUACAAAUGCAAGAAAGGUGGGAAUAUGGAGACCCCAGGCCAGGUCCUGCAAAUGCUUUGCAGUUUCUGAGUAUGAUGCUCUAUAGCUUGCAGCUGGAGGCACCUUUGUCUCUAAGCUUCUGCCAGCACCAGACAACUGGGUUGAAGAUCUAGUGCAGUUACAGAUGAGCAAGUGUGUUCCUGGAACAUGUAGGUCAGCUGUGGAGUAUAUGACUUCAGUGACAGUUUCUUGGGCAAAUCUCUAUGAUAGUGUAACUG
rnacentral:lncRNA from 1 species